rnacentral:snRNA from 1 species
AUUGCUUCUUGGCCUUUUGGCUAAGAUCUAGUGUAGUAUCUGUUCUUAUCAGUUUAAUAGUCUUGAAAAAUAAGACCACAUUUGGAAGACUUACACUUGAUUAUUUCAAAAGUCAUUAACAAGUGGGCCAGGGAGUUAGCUCAGUGGUUCUGCAACCUGCCUCACAAGCAAGAGGUCCC